AACGGAAAGGCCCUUCGGGGUACUCGAGUGGCGAACGGGUGAGUAACACGUGGGUGAUCUGCCCUGCACUUUGGGAUAAGCCUGGGAAACUGGGUCUAAUACCGGAUAUACCUCAUGGACUGCAUGGUUUGUGGGGGAAAGCUUUUGCGGUGUGGGAUGGGCCCGCGGCCUAUCAGCUUGUUGGUGAGGUUAUGGCUUACCAAGGCGACGACGGGUAGCCGGCCUGAGAGGGUGACCGGCCACACUGGGACUGAGAUACGGCCCAGACUCCUACGGGAGGCAGCAGUGGGGAAUAUUGCACAAUGGGCGCAAGCCUGAUGCAGCGACGCCGCGUGAGGGAUGACGGCCUUCGGGUUGUAAACCUCUUUCAGCAGGGACGAAGCGCAAGUGACGGUACCUGUAGAAGAAGGACCGGCCAACUACGUGCCAGCAGCCGCGGUAAUACGUAGGGUCCGAGCGUUGUCCGGAAUUACUGGGCGUAAAGAGCUCGUAGGUGGUUUGUCGCGUUGUUCGU
rnacentral:rRNA from 1 species